GAAAUGCGAUAAGUAGUGUGAAUUGCAGAAUUCAGUGAAUCAUCGAAUCUUUGAACGCACAUUGUGCCCUUUGGUAUUCCUUAGGGCAUGCCUGUUCGAGCGUCAUUUAAACCCUUCAAGCUCAGCUUGGUGUUGGGUGACUGUCCGCCGCCCCCGGGCGUGGACUCGCCCCAAAUCCAUUGGCGGCCGGUACGUAGGCUUCGAGCGCAGCAGAAACGCGAACUCGAGCCCGCGGUGUCGGCUCCCAGAAGCCAUCUCUUUUAUUUUGACCUCGGAUCAGGUAGGGAUACCCGCUGAACUUAAGC
rnacentral:misc_RNA from 1 species